AUAAUCUGAUAAUGAAUUAGUAGUUCAAUUUGAUUAAUAAUGAAUGUGUUCAAUAAUGUAUUUAAGCUUUUUAGUGUUUUGCAUAGGGAUUUUAGAUCUAAUAGAUCUGCAGAUAAUGAAUUUAAUAUCUCCAUGGUACUCAAAAGAAGCAGAAGAAUCUUCAGAGGAAAAAUUUCAUGCAACGAAUUUGAAAAGGAAUAGUCACAUAAUUAUACAUAUAAGAUGCAGAUAGCGAUAAUAUACAAAUAGUAGAAUUCAUCAUUAUAAUAGAAGAAAUAAUUGGUAUUGCAAUAUUUAAUUCAGUCUAAAUCUAAAUCUUACAAUUUUCAGUGACCGAUUAGCUAAUUAGAAGUUGGGUUAUGAAACAAUAUGUAUUCUCCAUACAGAACCUGUAAUAGAUUUUAGUUUUAGUUUCAAAAUAAUUUUUGCUAAACUGCUUUUGCGUACGUAAUCAAAGCUUAAUUUUACAAUGGUAAAUGAUAUUAAUAACUUUUAAUUGUUUAUUGAAUCGUUUUAAUUGUCCAUGUUGAUAUUUCACCCCUGAAAAAGUUGAAAUUUGGUAAUUAAAGGAACAGAAAAAAAACCAUCAAAUAUAAGAAACAGUAAUUUUUAUAUUUUAUCUUCAUAACAUUUUUAUCAAUCCAAAAAUUUACAUAAAUAAAUAUUUUCAACCUGAAUAUUAGAAGGCGACAUUGAUAAAUGUUACAUUAUAAUAUUGCUUUAUUAUAAAAAUGUAAGAAAAUAUAGAUUAUAUUAAUGAUAAAAAAGACACUACUUAGACAACAGUGAGAUUUGAGCUCAUA